rnacentral:rRNA from 1 species
GACGAACGCUGGCGGCGUGCUUAACACAUGCAAGUCGAACGGAAAGGCCCUGCUUUUGUGGGGUGCUCGAGUGGCGAACGGGUGAGUAACACGUGAGUAACCUGCCCUUGACUUUGGGAUAACUUCAGGAAACUGGGGCUAAUACCGGAUAGGAGCUCCUGCUGCAUGGUGGGGGUUGGAAAGUUUCGGCGGUUGGGGAUGGACUCGCGGCUUAUCAGCUUGUUGGUGGGGUAGUGGCUUACCAAGGCUUUGACGGGUAGCCGGCCUGAGAGGGUGACCGGCCACAUUGGGACUGAGAUACGGCCCAGACUCCUACGGGAGGCAGCAGUGGGGAAUAUUGCACAAUGGGCGGAAGCCUGAUGCAGCAACGCCGCGUGCGGGAUGACGGCCUUCGGGUUGUAAACCGCCUUCGCCUGUGACGAAGCGUGAGUGACGGUAAUGGGUAAAGAAGCACCGGCCAACUACGUG